rnacentral:rRNA from 1 species
GCACGUCUUGACGGUACCUAAUCAGAAAGCCACGGCUAACUACGUGCCAGCAGCCGCGGUAAUACGUAGGUGGCAAGCGUUAUCCGGAAUUAUUGGGCGUAAAGCGCGCGUAGGCGGUUUUUUAAGUCUGAUGUGAAAGCCCACGGCUCAACCGUGGAGGGUCAUUGGAAACUGGAAAACUUGAGUGCAGAAGAGGAAAGUGGAAUUCCAUGUGUAGCGGUGAAAUGCGCAGAGAUAUGGAGGAACACCAGUGGCGAAGGCGACUUUCUGGUCUGUAACUGACGCUGAUGUGCGAAAGCGUGGGGAUCAAACAGGAUUAGAUACCCUGGUAGUCCACGCCGUAAACGAUGAGUGCUAAGUGUUAGGGG